rnacentral:rRNA from 1 species
AGUGAACGCUGGCGGUAGGCCUAACACGUGCAAGUCGAACGGCAGCACAGUAAGAGCUUGCUCUUACGGGUGGCGAGUGGCGGACGGGCGAGGAAUACAUCGGAAUCUACUUUUUCGUGGGGGAUAACGUAGGGAAACUUACGCUAAUACCGCAUACGACCUACGGGUGAAAGCAGGGGAUCUUCGGACCUUGCGCGAUUGAAUGAGCCGAUGUCGGAUUAGCUAGUUGGCGGGGUAAAGGCCCACCAAGGCGACGAUCCGUAGCUGGUCUGAGAGGAUGAUCAGCCACACUGGAACUGAGACACGGUCCAGACUCCUACGGGAGGCAGCAGUGGGGAAUAUUGGACAAAGGGCGCAAGCCUGAUCCAGCCAUACCGCGUGGGUGAAGAAGGCCUUCGGGUUGUAAAGCCCUUUUGUUGGGAAAGAAAAGCAGCAGGUUAAUACCCCGCUGUUCUGACGGUACCCAAAGAAUAAGCACCGGCUAACUUCGUG